UCAAAAUUGAGGUCCUUCAAGAAAUAGCUACAUAGCACCCCCUUCAUAAUUUCAAAAUGAAACUCCUGCUUCUUUGAGUGACUCAGACCAAUGGACUAACAGAGACUUAUCUUGGAUCCAACUGAAAAAGGCACGACUGCAUUCUCUACAACAUUUCUAAAUGAAAGCCCUGCUCUGGUGCGCAUCCAAAACCUGUGGAAUUAGUGACACUGAAGUUGAACCUUAACACGAACAAAAACAGUUUGAAUAUCAAAAUGGAGAUCCAUCAAAACAUGGCUCUAUGGCGCCACCUUCAAAUUUCUUCAGUGUGAACCACGCUCCUGUGUUUGACCUAAACCUAUGAAAUUGAUGACACUUAUGUUUGACCUUAAGAUGAACAAAAAGGGUUUAACUGUCAUAAUGGAUGUCCAUCAUAAAAAGGCCCCAUAGCGCCCCCUUCAAAAUUUCAAAACGUAAACCCGCUCCUGCGGUCCAGACAGGUGGAUUCAAUGACACUUAUCUUGAACCCCAAGAGGAAAAGAAAUGGGUGCCAAUGUAAAAAUUGGGGACCCAUCAAAAAAUUCCUUCAUUUCUCCCUCUACAAAAUUUCAAAAUGUAAGUUCAGCUCCUGUGUUUGACCUAAACCGAGGGAUUCAAUGACACCUACGUUGGACUCAAAGUUAAACAAAAAGUUUUCCACUGUCAAAAUGGAUUUCCAACAAAAAUGUGGUCAUAGCGCCCUCUACAAAAAUUUCAGGACUCAGUGCUGUAUUUGAAGUCUGGUGUAUACCCUGUCAAUAGGAAUGGAGCCAGGACCGUCCGUUGUGGAACCCCUGUACUUCUCAAUAAGGCCCAGAAACACAGUUCCCCAGCGUGAAGAACUGUGUGAUUCCUGUCAGGCAAUUUGUGAUCCAGGAAACACAGGUAGGAUCCACGCCCAUCUCUGUGGGCUUGUCUUUUAGUAUGAUCGGUUGGAUGGUGUUGAACGUUAUGGUGACCUGUUGUUAUGAUGACCUGUCAGUUCAUUGACCUAUUGUUAUAAGUGGUAUCAUAAAAAAAUAAGACCAUCUCAAGAAGAGAGACUGAUUUUUAUUAGAAAACAUAACCUGAAACUGGAUAUCUCUUGCAGGGUUUUAUAGUCUUGAAUAUGUAAAGGAUUCGUAAUAUCAUUGACUUUGAAACCAUUUAAGUUUUUUUUGUAGGAUCAGAUUAACAAAAAACAACUGGCACUCUCAUGAUCACUUCUAAUUGUACAGGAAAAAGUGAAAUAUUGCAAAAAGUAUAAAUGGUAGAAAGGUGAAAAGUUCACCCCACUAGAUGGUGCUGUCAUACCAUAAUCAAAAAUUACUAUGGUUACAUUCUGACUGUAAACUUCUUUUGAGUACUUCCACAUUCCACGGGGAGGUUGUAAUACAUACAUUUUUAGGCAUUUGUCUAUCCGAAGCACCUCGACUGAUCAUUUUUCCUUGUAAUGCACAUAAGACAUACAAUUUUAGCAAUUUUUUUUUUAUUUUUACCUUCAUCCAAGUAUUUUAGCUUCAGCUCUGUAAUAUUUUCUACAUUUUUAUGUGGGGAAGUCACUGAAGCACACCACUAGAUGGUGCUGUUUUUCCAUUAUUACAAAUGAGUCUCAUCACCCUGUGAUGAAGAAAAUGUCAAGAUGGAGAACCAACCAUCAAUGGUCACAUAUUGCCCCCUACCCAAUUGAAAAAUAAAAGCCCUUUUUCUGUGUACGAACCAAACUUUUGAAAUAAAGAACAAUUAUGACAAACCGAAAGUUGAACAUACAGGGCUCCAGCAUCAAAAUGGAGAAUCAACUUCAAAUAGCUCCAGAGUGCCAGCUUCAAAUAAAAAAAAAAAAAAAGUAAGCCCCACUCCUGUGUUUGACCAAAACCUUUGGAAUUGAUGUCACUUAUGUUUGACCUCAAGACAAAGAAAAAUGGGUUCAAUGUCAAAAUUGAGGUCCUUCAAGAAAUAACUACAUAGCACCCCCUUCAUAAUUUCAAAAUGAAACCCCUGCUUCUUUGAGUGACUCAGACCAAUGGACUAACAGACACUUAUCUUGGAUCCAACUGAAAAUGGCACGACUGCGUUCUCUACAACAUUUCUAAAUGAAAGCCCUGCUCUGGUGCGCGUCCAAAACCUGUGGAAUUAGUGACACUGAAGUUGAACCUUAACACGAACAAAAACAGUUUGAAUAUCAAAAUGGAGAUCCAUCAAAACAUGGCUCUAUGGCGCCACCUUCAAAUUUCUUCAGUGUGAACCACGCUCCUGUGUUUGACCGAAACCUAUGAAAUUGAUGACACUUAUGUUUGACCUCAAGAUGAACAAAAAGGGUUUAACUGUCAUAAUGGAUAUCCAUCAUAAAAAGGCCCCAUAGCGCCCCCUUCAAAAUUUCAAAACGUAAACCCGCUCCUGCGGUCCAGACAAGUGGAUUCAAUGACACUUAUCUUGAACCCCAAGAGGAAAAGAAAUGGUUGCCAAUGUAAAAAUUGGGGACCCAUCAAAAAAUUCCUUCAUUUCUCCCUCUACAAAAUUUCAAAAUGUAAGUUCAGCUCCUGUGUUUGACCUAAACCGAGGGAUUCAAUGACACCUACGUUGGACUCAAAGUUAAACAAAAAGUUUUCCACUGUCAAAAUGGAUUUCCAACAAAAAUGUGGUCAUAGCGCCCUCUACAAAAAUUUCAGGACUCAGUGCUGUAUUUGAAGUCUGGUGUAUACCCUGUCAAUAGGAAUGGAGCCAGGACCGUCCGUUGUGGAACCCCUGUACUUCCCAAUAAGGCCCAGAAACACAGUUCCCCAGCAUGAAGAACUGUGUGAUUCCUGUCAGGCAAUUUGUGAUCCAGGAAACACAGGUAGGAUCCACGCCCAUCUCUGUGGGUUUGUCUUUGAGUAUGAUCGGUUGGAUGGUGUUGAAUGUUAUGGUGACCUGUUGUUAUGAUGACCUGUCAGUUCAUUGACCUAUUGUUAUAAGUGGUAUCAUGAAAAUAAGACCAUCUUAAGAAGAGAGACUGAUUUUUAUUCGAAAACAUAACCUGAAACUGGAUAUCUCUUGCAGGGUUUUAUAGUCUUGAAUAUGUAAAGGAUUGGUAAUAUCAUUGACUUUGAAACCAUUUAAGUUUUUUUUGUAGGAUCAGAUUAACAAAAAACAACUGGCACUCUCAUGAUCACUUCUAAUUGUACAGGAAAAAGUGAAAUAUUGCAAAAAGUAUAAAUGGUAGAAAGGUGAAAAGUUCACCCCACUAGAUGGUGCUGUCAUACCAUAAUCAAAAAUUACUAUGGUUACAUUCUGACUGUAAACUUCUUUUGAGUACUUCCACAUUCCACGGGGAGGUUGUAAUACAUACAUUUUUAGGCAUUUGUCUAUCCGAAGCACCUCGACUGAUCAUUUUUCCUUGUAAUGCACAUAAGACAUACAAUUUUAGCAAUUUUUUUUAUUUUUACCUUCAUCCAAGUAUUUUAGCUUCAGCUCUGUAAUAUUUUCUACAUUUUUAUGUGGGGAAGUCACUGAAGCACACCACUAGAUGGUGCUGUUUUUCCAUUAUUACAAAUGAGUCUCAUCACCCUGUGAUGAAGAAAAUGUCAAGAUGGAGAACCAACCAUCAAUGGUCACAUAUUGCCCCCUACCCAAUUGAAAAAUAAAAGCCCUUUUUCUGUGUACGAACCAAACUUUUGAAAUAAAGUACAAUUAUGACAAACCGAAAGUUGAACAUACAGGGCUCCAGCAUCAAAAUGGAGAAUCAACUUCAAAUAGCUCCAGAGUGCCAGCUUCAAAUUAAAAAAAAAAAGUAAGCCCCACUCCUGUGUUUGACCAAAACCUUUGGAAUUGAUGUCACUUAUGUUUGACCUCAAGACAAAGAAAAAUGGGUUCAAUGUCAAAAUUGAGGUCCUUCAAGAAAUAACUACAUAGCACCCCCUUCAUAAUUUCAAAAUGAAACCCCUGCUUCUUUGAGUGACUCAGACCAAUGGACUAACAGACACUUAUCUUGGAUCCAACUGAAAAUGGCACGACUGCGUUCUCUACAACAUUUCUAAAUGAAAGCCCUGCUCUGGUGCGCGUCCAAAACCUGUGGAAUUAGUGACACUGAAGUUGAACCUUAACACGAACAAAAACAGUUUGAAUAUCAAAAUGGAGAUCCAUCAAAACAUGGCUCUAUGGCGCCACCUUCAAAUUUCUUCAGUGUGAACCACGCUCCUGUGUUUGACCGAAACCUAUGAAAUUGAUGACACUUAUGUUUGACCUCAAGAUGAACAAAAAGGGUUUAACUGUCAUAAUGGAUAUCCAUCAUAAAAAGGCCCCAUAGCGCCCCCUUCAAAAUUUCAAAACGUAAACCCGCUCCUGCGGUCCAGACAAGUGGAUUCAAUGACACUUAUCUUGAACCCCAAGAGGAAAAGAAAUGGUUGCCAAUGUAAAAAUUGGGGACCCAUCAAAAAAUUCCUUCAUUUCUCCCUCUACAAAAUUUCAAAAUGUAAGUUCAGCUCCUGUGUUUGACCUAAACCGAGGGAUUCAAUGACACCUACGUUGGACUCAAAGUUAAACAAAAAGUUUUCCACUGUCAAAAUGGAUUUCCAACAAAAAUGUGGUCAUAGCGCCCUCUACAAAAAUUUCAGGACUCAGUGCUGUAUUUGAAGUCUGGUGUAUACCCUGUCAAUAGGAAUGGAGCCAGGACCGUCCGUUGUGGAACCCCUGUACUUCCCAAUAAGGCCCAGAAACACAGUUCCCCAGCAUGAAGAACUGUGUGAUUCCUGUCAGGCAAUUUGUGAUCCAGGAAACACAGGUAGGAUCCACGCCCAUCUCUGUGGGUUUGUCUUUGAGUAUGAUCGGUUGGAUGGUGUUGAAUGUUAUGGUGACCUGUUGUUAUGAUGACCUGUCAGUUCAUUGACCUAUUGUUAUAAGUGGUAUCAUGAAAAUAAGACCAUCUUAAGAAGAGAGACUGAUUUUUAUUCGAAAACAUAACCUGAAACUGGAUAUCUCUUGCAGGGUUUUAUAGUCUUGAAUUUGUAAAGGAUUGGUAAUAUCAUUGACUUUGAUGCCUUUGAAGUUUUUUUUGUAGGAUCAGAUUUCCAAAAAAUAUUCUUUGUUAACGCUCAGUUGCUAAAAAAAGCCACUGACAUCGACUGCUGUAAAAACAUAUUGGAUUCAUAUUUUUUCCAGAUUUUUUUUCACACAUCUCUCAAAUAACUUCUGCCCUGAUCAAAAAUAGUACAUUUUUUAUCCAAAAAACAAUUUUUUAAGCCUUUGAGAGUCCAUUCAAAACAAAACGGCUAAUGCCUAAACAAAACUAUGGCCCCGCUCCAUGUGUGAAUACUGAAAAGAUGUUUGCAGUCAGCAGUAUGAAACCGUAGUGAUUUGUAAUAAUGGAAAAACAGCACCAUCUGGUGGUGUGCUUCUGUCACUGCCCUACAUAAAAAAGAUGUUUGCAGUCGGCACAUCAUCAUAGAAAUAUUUGAUUAUGGUAUGACAGCCAAAUCUAGUGGUGAGCUUUAGUUGCUGCCCUACAUGUUAAUAUAAAGAGUGUUACAGAGCUGUAGCUAAAAAAGCUGUAUAAAUGCAAAAUUAUUAAAGUUGCUAAAUAGAUGGUAUUAAUCUCAAAAGUAUUAAGAGCAGAAGUUUAAAAACUUGUAUGAAUGUAAAAAAUGCUCACGUGAAGACAAAGUUGUAAGACUUGUCAAUAUUUGUCAAUAUAGAAAUUGUUACAGAGCUGUGGUAUAAAAAAGGCAUAUGAAUGUAAAAUUCUGAAAGUAUGAAGAAGUGGUAUUAAUCUUAAAAGUAUAGAGAGCAGAAUUUUAAAUACUUUUAUGAAUGUAAAAAAUGCUCAAGUGAAGAAAAAGUUGUAAGACUUUUGUGAAUAAAAAUAAAUAAAGCUCAGUCUAGGUGCUUUGGAACGACAAGUGCCUAGAGAUUUAUACAUUACAAACUCCCCAUGAAAUGUUGAAAUAUUCAAAAGAGGUUUGCAGUCAGCAGCAUGUAACCAUAGUCACUGGUAGCGGCACAACACUACCCUAUAGUGUGCUUCAGUUACUAACUUACCAAGCUGAAGCGCACCGCAAGAUGGAGUAGUGCGUGUGGACAGGGUGUGAAGGAAAUCGACAAGCACACAACACAUGAGAAGUGCUCCACCAUGGGUGAAGUGGAUACCGUCUGAACUUCUUUACCUGGCGCAGUUUUUCUAAGUGGUAUCAUGAAAAUAAGACCAUCUUAAGAAUUCUGGCACUCUCAUGAUCAUUUCUAAAUGUACAGAAAAAAAGUGAAAUAUUGCAAAAAGUAUAAAUGGUAGAAAGGUGAAAAGUACACACCACUAGAUGGUGCUGUCAUACCAUAAUCAAAAAUUACUAUGGUUACUGUCAGAAUAAUGUGUAUAAAUAUAUAUAGAAGUUAUCAUCUUACUCAAAUUCUUAUGUAAGAGUUUGCUAUAAGUAUGAACUGUUUUAACCUCUUGUUACACAUCAUACACUGUGUGCAGAAUUAUUAGGCAAGUUGUAUUUUUGAGGAUAAACUUUAUUUUUCAACAACUGCAGUGCUCUUGGUCAAUCCAAAAUUUUAAUUAACCUCAAACCUGAAUAUUUAAGGGAGUAAAAGUGAGAUUUUGGCUUCCUUAGGAGAAUAUCUAUGUGUGCACACUUAUUGGGGGCAGCUAUUAGUGUGCAGAAUUAUUAUGCAACUAAAUUGAAAAUGAAAAAUUUUCCAUCUCAUUUGUUUAUUUUCACUGGUUAAAGUGAGAAUGAUAAACAAACAACUCAAUUUACAAAUAAAAAUUGAAAUAAAAAUAAAAAAUCUGUGACUAAUGUUACUACCCUUCUUCUCAAUAACAGUCAUAAGCCUUCCAUUUAUGGAGUCUUUCAGUUUCUUGAUCUGUUGACGAUCAACUUUUUGUGUUGCAGUAACCAAAGCCUUCCAGACACUGUUCCAGACACUGUUCAGAGAGGUGUACUGUCUUCCUUCACUGAAAAUUUCCCGUUUAAGAAGGGCUCACAAGUUCUCAACAGGGUUUAGGUCAGGUGAAGAAGGAGGCCAUGUCAUUAUUCUUUUGUUUUUAAGGCCUUUACUGGCGAGCCAUAUAGUGGAGUACUUCAUUGCAUGCAAUGGAGCAUUGUCCUGCAUAAAAAUUAUGGUUUUCUUGAAAGAUGCAGACUUUUGCCUGUACCACUGCUUGAAGAAAGUGUCUUCUCAAAACUGGCAUUGGAUUUGGGAGUUGAUUUUAAGUCCAUCUUCAUCUCGAAAAGGUCCAGCUAGCUCAUCUUUAAUAAUACCAGCCCAUACCAGUACCCAGCCUCCACCUUGCUGGUGUCUGAUUCGAAGUGGAGCCCUGUGCCCAUUACUGAUCCAGCCACGGGUCCAUCCAUCUGGUCCAUCAAGAGUCACUCUCAUCCCAUCAGUCCAUAAAACCUUUGAAAAGUCUCUCUUCAGAUAUUUCUUGGCCCAGUCUUGACAUUUCGACUUGUGUCUUGUUCAGUGGUGGUCAGAUUUCAGCCUUCCUUACCUUGGCCAUGUCUCUGAGCACUGAACACCUUGUACUUCUGGGCACUCCAGGUAGGUUGCAGUUCUGGAAUAUGACAGCACUGGAGGAUAUUGGGUUCCUGGUAGCUUUACGUUUGAGUCUUCUCAAAUCUUUGGCAGUUAAUUCGCGUCUUUUUUUCUUAACACAUUUCUUGCGACCCUGUUGACUAUUUGCAUCAAAAUGUUUGAUGGUUCUGUGAUCACGCCCAAAUAUCUAGUCACUUAAAUCUCUUUUUUGGCCCAUUUUACCUGAGGAAAAGAAGCUGCCUUAUAAUUAUGCACACCUUGAUAUAGGGUUUUGAUCUCCUUAGGCCCCAGCCUCCCUCAAUACACAUUACCUGAUAUGCUUAUAUCCAAUAAGCAUUCAAGUUUAUACAGCUUAGAGUUGGAAAAUAUGCAUAAAAAUGAUGAUAUGAUCAAAAUACUCACUUGCCUAAUAAUUGUGCACACAGUGUAUAAGAGUGUUUUCUAACUUCUCUCUCCAAUAGCUUUAUUACACAGCACAAAAAUGUUUCUUAUCUUCUCUGUGACCUUGUUUCUCCUAUUAGCAGGUGUGUGUGUGAUGUAUCCUCCACUGUGAAUCGUGGGAAGUAAUGAGGAGGAUCCGCUCCUAUCAGAAGGAGCUUGUUUAAUGUCAAAAGUGUUGCCUUGACCCUCACAUAUGUUCUGUUGUUCAUAAUUAUGUUUUAUGAGAAUGCUAACAUUGGUGCACAUAUUUUUUCCCCAUCCUUUAGUACCAUUGUGUAACCAGGGACAACCCUAAAUAAAGAGACUGUGGUGCUGUUGGUGCUGUUAUUCCAUUAUUGUAAAUGAAGCUCAUCACCCUGUGAUGAAGAAAAUGAAAAUAAGACCAUCUUAAGAAUUCUGGCACUUUCAUGAUCAUUUCUAAUUGUACAGAAAAAGUGAAAUAUUGCAAAGAGUAUAAAUGGUAGAAAGGUGAAAAGUAAUACUUAUCAUGUCCUUAGGGAGUGCAUUACUAUCAAGUUUGAAUGGUUAAAAUAGCACAAAGUGGGAAGGAGAGAAAAAGUAACAAAUAUUGGUGUUAGAAGAAAAAACGGCCGACAGGAUUAUCAAUUACAACUUGAAAAACUGCGUUUCCUUGCAGAAAAUGCAUGGAAAUGCUGAAUGAUAAAACAGCCAUGCAGAACUGCUACGAAAGAAGAAAAGUAUAAAUGUUAAAUGUCUUGAAGAGGUGGAGAACAAGAAGAAAUUAUGUAGAAAUUUUAGCAUAGCUGCAGUUAAACAUACAUGAAGUUGUAGAAAAGCAGCAGUUGGAGAAGUGUUUUACAUGCUGACAUUUUCAAUAACCUUAAAAAAAAAAUUGUAUGAGUGUUGUCAAUAAACAGAGAUUAGUUAACCCUUGUGUAACCGUUAGAUUUACAUCAGUUGUUAACGCUCAGUGGCUAAAAGAAGCCACUGACAUUGACUGCUGUAAUAACAUAUUGGGUUCAUAUGUUUUCCAGAUUUUUUUUCACACAUCUCUCAAUUAAUUUCUGCCCUGAUCAAAAAUAGUAAAUUUUUUACCUAAAAACAAUUUUUUGAGCCUUUGAGAGUCCAUUCAAAACAUAACGCCACUGCUAUGGUACAAAAAUACACAAAAAUGACUCACUUAACUUCAAUCUCGCCAAAACAAACUAUGAUCAUAACAACAAGCCAACACAUCAAAACAACACUUAAACAACAGCUAAUCACAAGGGGUAACCAACUCAACAGAUGCAUGCCAAAACACAUGCUCACAAACCUUCAAUCUUGCCUAAACGAACAAAAACAACAGCUUAACACAAGGGGUAACCAGUUCAACAGAUAAACAUAUCGGGCUCUAUUUUGGUGCCUCGCCGGAGACGUGCCGCAAGUGCAGCGUCAGUCAGAUCCGCCGCGCUGACAAGGCGUUCCCAAGCACAUUUUGGUAUUUUGGUGAGCCGCGCAGCCCGGCGUAAGUAUCCCCCCUCCCUAACUCAGCUCCUCCCAGCAGCAUAAGUCGUAGACAGGGAGGAGAAAGGGCGUGGAGUGGAUUUAACACAGCCGAGACCUGUUUUCACCAAUCACAUAAGCUCCUCUCCUUGCCUUUAAAUCCGCCACAGGCGAGGCGUAUUACUAUUUUCAUGAAGUAGUCAAAGAGAUCAAGAGAUGUCUUAAGACAGUAAUGCCACAAGAUGACGACAGAGGGCAGCUCCUCAACAAGUGUCCUCCACACUCUCUCAUAUGAGCACAGAUGGAUUUGGUGUGUGUAAUGUUGGACCCACUGGUAAGACAAACACCCUUUUCCACAAAUAAAGACACUCACAUAAAGUUGCAUAUAUUCAAACCUCACGUGACAAAGGUGGGUUGAGCGCACAGAUCACAACAUAAACUGGCAUUAAAAAUGGAACCAUCUGUGCGUAAAUGACGCAUCGCGCUCCGUGACCUGGCUCUUUCUUUCAUAGAUGUUGGCAUAUAAAAUAAAUUUGCCUCACAAAACUGAAUAUUAUAAUAUUCGCAUGUAGGCUUAAAGUAGAUAACACAUCUGAGCACUGAAACAAAUCAUCUGUUCAGCCGCAGCAGCAGCAAGAAGGACAGAGGACACAGAGACGUGUCCAGGUCCAGCUGUGUGAGAAAUAAGAGGAAGAGGAAGAUAGAAAAGGAGGGAGACAAAUUACAUAUCUUGUUAACUUCAUCAUGUGUGUUUAUUUACUAGAUAUUUAAUUUAAUUUGAUGCGGUUUUAGCUGUGUUGAUUCGGUCAGGUUGUGUGUCCAAACGCGUGCCAAACGCACUCAUCAGAUCACAUAUAGAUCAGAAUAUAUCAAUAUAGAUCUAAAUGUAUGUGCUGACUCAGAUUAAUAGUUGAUGAUGAUUAUUUAUUGCAGGGCAUCAGUGACGUAUGUCGAUACGCCGCCGGUCUACCAAAAUACUACUAGACCAGCUGCGCUCCGCCAUGCGCUGAAAGCUGACCAGGUUUGAAUCGGCGAGCUUUCAGCGCACUUUACACGCCGGUGGCGAGCACGAAAAUGUCACUGCGCCUGCUGAUUCUGUCGACACCUCCCCCUGCCACGCCACCACGCCCAGCUUGGCGGAUCUCGGCUCGCCUCCGUGAGGCUCAGUCUACAAAAAUACCAAACUGGACUUACGCCAGGCUCCGCCAGACGAAAAUACAACUGCGCGGGGCUCGCCGCCCUCCGCCGCCUCACCGGCGCGCACGAAAAUAGAGCCCAUCAACUGCAUGCAGGAACACUAGCUCACUUAACUUCAAUCUCGCCAAAACAAACUAUGAUCAUAACAAGCCAACACAUCAAAUAACAGCUACACAGAAGGGGUAACCAACUCAACAGAUGCAUGUGUUAGGCAGAGAGAGACGCUUUCAGAAAGUACGGGAGAAGGAGCAUCCCGUUUUAGUUCAUUACGCGACAUGUCUUUUUGUUUUCAGAUACGGUAUGAUCCCGUUUUUUACGGUACGGUUGGGAACCCUAGAGCACCCAUUCCUGGCUUUUGUCAAGUUCUUCGAACAUGUUUUUGUAGAGUUUGUUUACAUUAAAGGGGAUGUAUUUCCUCAUGUCAACAAAAUUACCGUUAUUGUUAAAAAGGACCUUAACUUAAUUUUCAGAAGUAUAUUUCUGCAUUCCUGUCAUGUUGCUGAUUCCAUCUGUUUCUGAGUAUAAUGGUGGACCUCACAAUGAGCCUUACUCAUAACCUGCUGUACCAACAGAAAAAGGAUAACAAUCCUGAACAAUGCUGAGAAUGUUGUCUCAGUCCAUUGUUGUUGAUCGUAUCUAAUGAUUGUUUUUUCGUUUUUAAUUAUUUAUUAAUGUGGUGUAUUUAUUAAACUAUGUAUUUAUUUAUUUAUCUAUCUAUUUAUUAAUUUAUUCGAAUCAAGAUAUUCAAAAUAAAAGCUAUAUGUAAAAAUAACAAAAUAAAUGAAUGGUUUUAAAUUUUUUUAUGCUUUUUGUGUUAGGUUCGGGGAUAUAGGGGUUUGAGCCACUUUUGACAUGGCGGUUCAUUGCCUUUACCAAGGUCGAACCAUCCUGAGAUUUUGUGGAUUGGUGUCACGGUACUUGAGGCGACCACCCCUCCUCCUGUAUUGCACCUCAGUCCAUUGAUCGUAGGCCAUGACUGUUUUUAUCCUUUUUAAUUAUUUAUUACUAUUUAUUAAUGUGGUGUAUUUCUCAAACUAUUUAUUCAUUUAUUUGUGUAUUCAAAUCAAGGUAUUCAAAACAAAAGCUGUAUAUGAAAAUAACAAAAUAAAUGAAAUGUUCUUUAUUUUUUUAUGCUUUUUUUUUCUAAAAUAAAAAUGAAAUAAAAGUAAAAUAACAAAAUAAAAUGUCUAUUUAAAUGAAGAAUUGAAGAAAAGGUGUGGGGGAAAAGUGCCCAGUUGCGCAACGUUUCGACCGCUGUGGGUCUUCUUCAGGCUCUGGGCACUGUGAGAAAUAUGUCUGGGCUUGUUGAUUCAGGGUGUGAGAUGUUCUCCCUUCAGCAGACUCAGCCAGAAUGAGAGGAGCCAAGGUUUGUGUGUGUGUUCUAUUUAUAGAGGCGGGAAGAGCAAAGAAUGCAGCUGCACUCUGAUGAGUCAUGGAGAGGCUCCGGCAGUCUGUGUGUGUAUGAACCACUAAAUGCCUACUGAAUUUAAAUGAAAUGAAUGUUGAUGGUCAAUUGGAAUGCUGAAGCUGAUUAAUGAAUUGUACUUUUAAUGCCCAAUUAAAAUUUUUUUACCCUCUUUUUAACUGAUUAAAUUUAAUUAAUUGUAAUUUUAAUGCCCAAUUUUAACUUUUAUAUUUUAAAUCCAUAAUUGUCAAUUAGAAUUGUAAUGCGUUUGAAUUUUAAAGAUAGUUUUAUUUUAGCCCUUAAUUCCCUUUUUAGAUUUUAGAUUAGAUAUACAUUUGUAAUACUUUUGGUUUUAAUGUGAAAUUAUUACUAUUUUUAGCCUGCUAUGAAAUUUAAUAAUUAAAAAUGAAUUCAAAUGAAUUAAUUAAAAUAAAUUAUUAGUUUUUUAAAGGUUAGGGUUAGGGGUCAGGGCAAGGGUCAGAGAGGUUAGGGUUAGGGUUAGGGUUAGGGUUAGGGUUAGAGGGGUUAGGGCUAGGGUUAGAUGGUUAGGGUUAGGGUUAGAUACCUAGUUAGGUGUUAGUUUAGGGCUAGGGAUUAGGGGUUAGUGGUUAGGGUUUGGUGGUUAGAGUUAGGGUUAGGGUUAAGGUUAGGGGGUUAGGGUUAGGGAUUAGGGUUAGGGGGUUCGGGUUAGGCUUAGGGGUUAGGGAAAGGGUGAGGGAUUAGGGUUAUGGUUAGGGGUAGGGUUCGGGUGAGGGGUAGGGUUAGGGGUUAGGGUUAGUUGUUAUGAUCAUAGUUUGUUUUGGCGAGAUUGAAGGUAUAUGAGCAUGUUUUAUGGCACACAUCUGUUGAGUUGUUGUUUAAGUGUUGUUUUGAUGUGUUGGCUUGUUGUUUUGAUAGUUUUUUUGGGAAUUGAAAUUAAGUGAGCUAGUGUUAUCACAUGCAGUUGAUAUGUUUAUCUGUUGAACUGGUUACCCCUUGUUUUUAGCCGUUGUUUAAGUGUUCUUUUGAUGUGUUGGCUUGUUGUUAUGAUCAUAGUUUGUUUUGGCGAGUUUGAAGGUUUGUGAGUAUGUGUUAUGGCAUGCAUCUGUUGAGUUGGUUAUCCCUUCUGUUUAACUGUUGUUAAAGUGUUGUUUUGAUGUGUUGGCUUGUUGUUAUGAUUAUAGUUUGUUUUGGCGAGAUUAAGGUUAAGUGAGCCAGUGUUAUCACAAGCAGUUGAUAUGUUUAUCUCUAGAACUGGUUACCCCUUGGGUUAAGCUGUUGUUUAUGUGUUGUUUUGAUGUGUUGGCUUGUUGGGUUCAUAGUUUGUUUUGGCGAGAUUGAAGGUAUGUGAGCAUGUGUUAUGGCAUGCAUCUGUUAAGUUGGUUACCCCUUGUGUUUAACUGUUGUUUAAGUGUUCUUUUGAUGAGUUUGGCUUGUUGUUAUGAAAAGUGUUUGUUUUGGCGAGUUUGAACGUUUUUGAGCAUGUGUAAUGGCAUGAAUGCGUUAAGCUGUUGUUUUAGUGUUCUUUUGAUGAGUUUGGCUUGUUGUUAUGAACAUUGUUCGUUUUGGCCAGUUUGAAGGUUUUUGAGCAUGUGUAAUGGCAUGAAUGUGUUGAAUUAGUAAUCCCUUGUGUUAAGCUGUUGUUUUAGUGUUCUUUUGAUGAGUUUGGCUUGUUGUUAUGAAAAGUGUUUGUUUUGGCGAGUUUGAACGUUUUUGAGCAUGUGUAAUGGCAUGAAUGUGUUGAAUUAGUAAACCCUUGCGUUAAGCUUUUGUUUUAGUGUUCUUUUGAUGAGUUUGGCUUGUUGUUAUGAAAAGUGUUUGUUUUGGCGAGUUUGAACGUUUUUGAGCAUGUGUAAUGGCAUGAAUGCGUUAAGCUGUUGUUUUAGUGUUCUUUUGAUGAGUUUGGCUUGUUGUUAUGAACAUUGUUCGUUUUGGCCAGUUUGAAGAUUUUUUAGCAUGUGUAAUGGCAUGAAUGUGAUGAAUUAGUAAUCCCUUGUGUUAAGCCGUUGUUUUAGUGUUCUUUUGAUGAUUUUGGCUUGUUAUGAAAAGUUGUUUAAGUGUUCUUUUGAUGAGUUUGGCUUGUUGUUAUGAAAAGUGUUUGUUUUGGCGAGUUUGAACGUUUUUGAGCAUGUGUAAUGGCAUGAAUGCGUUAAGCUGUUGUUUUAGUGUUCUUUUGAUGAGUUUGGCUUGUUGUUAUGAAAAGUGUUUGUUUCGGCGAGUGUGAACGUUUUUGAGCAUGUGUAAUGGCAUGAAUGUGUUGAAUUAGUAAACCCUUGCGUUAAGCUUUUGUUUUAGUGUUCUUUUGAUGAGUUUGGCUUGUUGUUAUGAAAAGUGUUUGUUUUGGCGAGUUUGAACGUUUUUGAGCAUGUGUAAUGGCAUGAAUGCGUUAAGCUGUUGUUUUAGUGUUCUUUUGAUGAGUUUGGCUUGUUGUUAUGAACAUUGUUCGUUUUGGCCAGUUUGAAGGUUUUUUAGCAUGUGUAAUGGCAUGAAUGUGAUGAAUUAGUAAUCCCUUGUGUUAAGCCGUUGUUUUAGUGUUCUUUUGAUGAUUUUGGCUUGUUAUGAAAAGUUGUUUUAGUGUUCUUUUGAUGAGUUUGGCUUGUUGUUAUGAAAAGUGUUUGUUUUGGCGAGUUUGAACGUUUUUGAGCAUGUGUAAUGGCAUGAAUGCGUUAAGCUGUUGUUUUAGUGUUCUUUUGAUGAGUUUGGCUUGUUGUUAUGAACAUUGUUCGUUUUGGCCAGUUUGAAGGUUUUUGAGCAUGUGUAAUGGCAUGAAUGUGUUGAAUUAGUAAUCCCUUGUGUUAAGCUGUUGUUUUAGUGUUCUUUUAAUGAGUUUGGCUUGUUGUUAUGAAAAGUGUUUGUUUUGGCGAGUGUGAACGUUUUUGAGCAUGUGUAAUGGCAUGAAUGUGUUGAAUUAGUAAACCCUUGCGUUAAGAUGUUGUUUUAGUGUUCUUUUGAUGAGUUUGGCUUGUUGUUAUGAAAAGUGUUUGUCUUGGCGAGUUUGAACGUUUUUGAGCAUGUGUAAUGGCAUGAAUGCGUUAAGCUGUUGUUUUAGUGUUCUUUUGAUGAGUUUGGCUUGUUGUUAUGAACAUUGUUCGUUUUGGCCAGUUUGAAGGUUUUUGAGCAUGUGUAAUGGCAUGAAUAUGUUGAAUUAGUAAUCCCUUGUGUUAAGCUGUUGUUUUAGUGUUCUUUUCAUGAGUUUGGCUUGUUGUUAUGAAAAGUGUUUGUUUUGGCGAGUUUGAACGUUUUUGAGCAUGAGUAAUGGCAUGAAUGCGUUAAGCUGUUGUUUUAGUGUUCUUUUGAUGAGUUUGGCUUGUUGUUAUGAACAUUGUUGGUUUUGGCCAGUUUGAAGGUUUUUUAGCAUGUGUAAUGGCAUGAAUGUGUUGACUUAGUAAUCCCUUGUGUUAAGCUGUUGUUUUAGUGUUCUUUUGAUGAGUUUGGCUUGUUGUUAUGAAAAGUGUUUGUUUUGGCGAGUUUGAACGUUUUUGAGCAUGUGUAAUCGCAUGAAUGCGUUAAGCUGUUGUUUUAGUGUUCUUUUGAUGAGUUUGGCUUGUUGUUAUGAACAUUGUUCGUUUUGGCCAGUUUGAAGGUUUUUUAGCAUGUGUAAUGGCAUGAAUGUGUUGAAUUAGUAAUCCCUUGUGUUAAGCCGUUGUUUCAGUGUUCUUUUGAUGAGUUUGGCUUGUUGUUAUGAAAAGUUUGUUUUGGCGAGUUUGAACGUUUUUGAGCAUGUGUAAUGGCAUGAAUGCCUUAAGAUGUUGUUUUAGUGUUCUUUUGAUGAGUUUGGCUUGUUGUUAUGAAAAGUGUUUGUUUUGGCGAGUAUAAACGUUUUUGAGCAUGUGUAAUGGCAUGAAUGCGUUAAGCUGUUGUUUUAGUGUUCUUUUGAUGAGUUUGGCUUGUUGUUAUGAAAAGUGUUUGUUUUGGCGAGUUUCAACGUUUUUGAGCAUGUGUAAUGGCAUGAAUGCGUUAAGCUGUUGUUUUAGUGUUCUUUUGAUGAGUUUGGCUUGUUGUUAUGAAAAGUGUUUGUUUUGGCGAGUUUGAACGUUUUUGAGCAUGUGUAAUGGCAUGAACGCGUUAAGCUGUUGUUUUAGUGUUCUUUUGAUGAGUUUUGCUUGUUGUUAUGAACAUUGUUCGUUUUGGCCAGUUUGAAGGUUUUUGAGCAUGUGUAAUGGCAUGAAUGUGUUGAAUUAGUAAUCCCUUGUGUUAAGAUGUUGUUUUAGUGUUCUUUUGAUGAGUUUGGCUUGUUGUUAUGAAAAGUGUUUGUUUUGGCGAGUUUGAACGUUUUUGAGCAUGUGCAAUCGCAUGAAUGCGUUAAGCUGUUGUUUUAGUGUUCUUUGAUGAGUUUGGCUUGUUGUUAUGAACAUUGUUCGUUUUGGCCAGUUUGAAGGUUUUUUGCAUGUGUAAGGCAUAAAUGUGUUGAAUUAGUAAUCCCUUGUGUUAAGCCGUUGUUUUAGUGUUCUUUUGAUGAGUUUGGCUUGUUGUUAUGAAAAGUUUGUUUUGGCGAGUUUGAACGUUUUUGAGCAUGUGUAAUGGCAUGAAUGCCUUAAGAUGUUGUUUUAGUGUUCUUUUGAUGAGUUUGGCUUGUUGUUAUGAACAUUGUUCGUUUUGGCCAGUUUGAAGGUUUUUGAGCAUGUGUAAUGGCAUGAAUGUGUUGAAUAAGUAAUCCCUUGUGUUAAGCUGUUGUUUUAGUGUUCUUUUAAUGAGUUUGGCUUGUUGUUAUGAAAAGUGUUUGUUUUGGCGAGUGUGAACGUUUUUGAGCAUGUGUAAUGGUAUGAAUGUGUUGAAUUAGUAAACCCUUGCGUUAAACUUUUGUUUUAGUGUUCUUUUGAUGAGUUUGGCUUGUUGUUAUGAAAAGUGUUUGUUUUGGCGAGUUUGAACGUUUUUGAGCAUGUGUAAUGGCAUGAAUGCGUUAAGAUGUUGUUUUAGUGUUCUUUUGAUGAGUUUGGCUUGUUGUUAUGAACAUUGUUCGUUUUGGCCAGUUUGAAGAUUUUUUAGCAUGUGUAAUGGCAUGAAUGUGAUGAAUUAGUAAUCCCUUGUGUUAAGCCGUUGUUUUAGUGUUCUUUUGAUGAUUUUUGCUUGUUAUGAAAAGUUGUUUAAGUGUUCUUUUGAUGAGUUUGGCUUGUUGUUUUGAAAAGUGUUUGUUUUGGCGAGUUUGAACGUUUUUGAGCAUGUGUAAUGGCAUGAAUGCGUUAAGCUGUUGUUUUAGUGUUCUUUUGAUGAGUUUGGCUUGUUGUUAUGAACAUUGUUCGUUUUGGCCACUUUGAAGGUUUUUGAGCAUGUGUAAUGGCAUGAAUGUGUUGAAUUAGUAAUCCCUUGUGUUAAGCUGUUGUUUUAGUGUUCUUUUAAUGAGUUUGGCUUGUUGUUAUGAAAAGUGUUUGUUUUGGCGAGUUUGAACGUUUUUGAGCAUGUGUAAUGGCAUGAAUGCGUUAAGCUGUUGUUUUAGUGUUCUUUUGAUGAGUUUGGCUUGUUGUUAUGAACAUUGUUCGUUUUGGCCAGUUUGAAGGUUUUUUAGCAUGUGUAAUGGCAUGAAUGUGUUGACUUAGUAAUCCCUUGUGUUAAGCUGUUGUUUUAGUGUUCUUUUGAUGAGUUUGGCUUGUUGUUAUGAAAAGUGUUUGUUUUGGCGAGUUUGAACGUUUUUGAGCAUGUGUAAUGGCAUGAAUGCGUUAAGCUGUUGUUUUAGUGUUCUUUUGAUGAGUUUGGCUUGUUGUUAUGAACAUUGUUCGUUUUGGCCAGUUUGAAGGUUUUUGAGCAUGUGUAAUGGCAUGAAUGUGUUGAAUGAGUAAUCCCAUGUGUUAAGCCGUUGUUUUAGUGUUCUUUUGAUGAGUUUGGCUUGUUGUUAUGAAAAGUGUUUGUUUCAGCGAGUUUGAACGUUUUUGAGCAUGUGUAAUGGCAUGAAUGCGUU
rnacentral:lncRNA from 1 species